rnacentral:tRNA from 1 species
GAGGAUAUAGCUCAGUGGUAGAAUGUGUGCUUAGCAUGCAUGAGGUCCUGGGUUCAAUCCCCAGUACCUCCA